rnacentral:lncRNA from 10 species
UCAAGCCUUUGGCAUCCAGUGCCUUGUACUUAAUGAAAGUUUGCAACACUCUGAGCAACUGUUCUCAGUUCUUCUGCCUUAUUUCUGGCCUCCGUUGCAACUGUUUUGACCUAGUGAAGGCCUAGACUUUCUCAGACAGAUUUCUUUUAACUCUUCUGCCCUGACUCCAGUCUUCACUGGGAUGCUGCCUUGCACUUAGGGAAGGUUCACAUGCCUCAAGGAUCUCUCUCUCUCAGAUUUCUUGACUUUCCCUCAGUCUUCAGUAUAGUCCUCCUCUGUGCCUGGUGAAGACCUGUGGUAAAGUGCUGGCAGAGCUGCCGGCUUCCCCUUGAAGGAAUAGGAGUAGACCUGCUGAACUAUCACAUGAGAGAAGAGGCCCAAAAGCUUGCACACUACAGUCAAGCUGGCCCUUAAAGAGAUGGACCUAGAAGAUGCUGAGCCAGAUGUACUCAAUUACUUCUCCAAAAUUCAUCAAUUAGAACUGCUUCUUGCUGCCGCCAUAUGAAGAAGGACGUGUUCGCUUCCCCUUCCUCCAUGAUUGUAAGUUUCCUGAGACCUCGCCAGCCAUGCUGAACUAGUGAACAGGAAACCUACAGAAUAGGAGAAAAUUUUUGCAAUCUACUCAUCUGACAAAAGGCUAAUAUCCAGAAUCUACAAAGAACUCAAACAAAUUUACAAGCACAAAACGAACAACCCCAUCAACAAGUGGGCAAAGGACAUGAACAGACACUUCUCAAAAGAAGACAUUUAUGCAGCCAACAGACACAUGAAAAAAUGCUCAUCAUCACUGCCCAGCUAAAUCUUGACUUCUAUUGAAGAAGUGAAGGAUGGAUUUUGUAAGCCUACCAGCAGCCAAAGGAGACUAAGAGGAGUCAUUCAGGAAUAUGAGGGUUAUGAAGACAGUGGUGUCCCAGAAACCAAGGAGAAGAGGAUGUUGCAUGAAGAAGGAGAUGAUGGUUUCACUUUGGUUACAUUUAUCCAAAUGCCCCGUCCAACUCUUCAGUGUCCCUAGUAAAAUCUGGUAUAGAGAUGGACACUGUUUUUUAGGUGAGGCCUGCUGAGUGUGGAGAGUUGUGAAAAAUUUUUCCCUUAAAUUGAGAAUGUUUUAAAUAAUGCAGCCUAUGUUUUCUUUAAGUAACAAGGCCAUCCCACUGACUCACACUGAUCUUGUUCUCAGCAAAAAACUCCCUGCUCUUCCUCAUAUUAAUUGCCAUAAAAACAAGUCACUUCUAUCAUGCAUUUGGCUCAUUGAGUUAUGAAAAUAUGUAGGUAUUUCGUUUCUUUUUAUGUAAAUUUAUGCUGGUUUUAGUCCAUCAUUUGAAGUCCAGAAGUCUUCUGGAACUUAACUGUGUCUGUAUUAGUUGUCUUUUCCAUCUUGUGGUUUAUGGUAAAAUUAAUAAAAGGCCUUGCAAACCAGUAACAACAGCUGCCGUUUACUGUGUGCCUAUUGCUCAAUGCCUGUUGAUAGAGUCCACUGGGGUGCUGGCUGGCUGCCCUCUCAUUUAAUUUUUGAACAUUCUCAUAAGGUCAUUUUGUUUGUUUGUUUUCUGGCCUGAGUAUUGUAUUAAUUACAUAAAAGAAAACUUUGGGGAAAUAUUGUUAAUUUUUGACAGGAUUUUCCAACACUAAUACUAGUACUGUUAUUACAGCUACCAUACAACUCUGACCACUAAAGAAUUUUUGUUUUUAAGAAUUUGGAAAUUAUUUUAUUAUGAUAUCAUUUAUGUACAUUAAAAUUCAUUCUCAUUGGUGCACAGUUCUAUUUGUUUUGACAAGCUCACACAGUCAUGUAACCAUCACCACAAUCAAAAUAUAGAACAGUUUUAAUAACAAUUUCUUUAUGUUCUUUAUAGUCAUACCUUCCCUCACCCACUUUAUGUCCCUAACAUUUUGCCUUUUCCAAAAAUGGAACAUAAAUUGAAUUAUAUUGUAUGUAGC